UGGAUGUUGCUGUUCAGUCUGUGUCCUGUGUCUGCUCUCCUCUCCUCUCUCCUCUCCUCCACCUGUGUCUACUCCUUCUGCAGAACAACAGCUCCAACUGAGACUCAGGUUCCUCUGAACAGGACGACCACCAGGGGAAGUGACAGCAGAGAGCAGACUACAGUCAAAGAGGAAGGAGACCUGUGUUACGCAUCGUUGGA